rnacentral:rRNA from 1 species
CCUACGGGAGGCUGCAGUGAGGAAUAUUGGUCAAUGGGCGCAAGCCUGAACCAGCCAAGUCGCGUGAGGGAUGACGGUCCUAUGGAUUGUAAACCUCUUUUGUCGGGGAGCAAGGCCAGCCGCGUGUGGCGGGAAGGAGAGUAACGGAAGAAAAAGCAUCAGCUAACGCCGUGCCAGCAGCCGCGGUAAUACGGAGGAUGCGAGCGUUAUCUGGAGUUAUUGGGGUAAAGGGGGGCGUAGGCGGGAGGUUAAGUCAGCGGGAAAGUGUCGGUGCCAAAUAGCGGCCUGCCGUUGAUACUGGUCGUCUUGAGUGAGCGAGAGGUAUGCGGAAUGCGUGGUGUAGCAGUGAAAUGCAUAGAUAUCACGAAGAACUCUGAUUGCGAAGGCAGCUUACCGGCGCUCAACUGACGCUGAGGCACGAAAGCGUGGGGAGCGAACAGGAUUAGAUACCCUAGUAGUC